rnacentral:piRNA from 1 species
UAAAGAUUCCUUCCGCUGAGUUAAGG